GGAUGAGAGUGUGAUCUGGCUGUGACAUCUGUCACCCCAUUGAUCGCCAGGCUUGAUUCUGCUGAUCUAGCUGGCUAGGCAGGUGUCCUCUUCCUCCCUCACUGCUUCAUGCUGCCCACUUGGUCAAAGAGGAUGCUUUCCCUGAAUAGAGAAGACCAGUCUUUGGUAGAGUAGCUACGCUUCCGUACUAGAACCUCCAAACAAGCUCUCAAGAUCCAUUUGUAGGAGAAUGUGGAGUAAUUCAAGCUUCCCAAUACUACAGAUACAUCCAAAUGUGGUGCUGCAAGUGGCCAGUCUGCCUAUCU
rnacentral:snRNA from 1 species